rnacentral:rRNA from 1 species
AAAGGUGGCUUUYAGCUACCACUURCAGAUGGACCCGCGGCGCAUUAGCUAGUUGGUGAGGUAACGGCUCACCAAGGCGACGAUGCGUAGCCGACCUGAGAGGGUGAUCGGCCACACUGGGACUGAGACACGGCCCAGACUCCUACGGGAGGCAGCAGUAGGGAAUCUUCCGCAAUGGACGAAAGUCUGACGGAGCAACGCCGCGUGAGUGAUGAAGGUUUUCGGAUCGUAAAACUCUGUUGUUAGGGAAGAACAAGUACCGUUCGAAUAGGGCGGYACCUUGACGGUACCUAACCAGAAAGCCACGGCUAACUACGUGCCAGCAGCCGCGGUAAUACGUAGGUGGCAAGCGUUGUCCGGAAUUAUUGGGCGUAAAGCGCGCGCAGGCGGUUUCUUAAGUCUGAUGUGAAAGCCCCCGGCUCAACCGGGGAGGGUCAUUGGAAACUGGGGAACUUGAGUGCAGAAGAGGAGAGUGGAAUUCCACGUGUAGCGGUGAAAUGCGUAGAGAUGUGGAGGAACACCAGUGGCGAAGGCGACUCUCUGGUCUGUAACUGACGCUGAGGCGCGAAAGCGUGGGGAGCGAACAGGAUUAGAUACCCUGGUAGUCCACGCCGUAAACGAUGAGUGCUAAGUGUUAGAGGGUUUCCGCCCUUUAGUGC